rnacentral:rRNA from 1 species
CAACCUUCCCAUAACUCUGGGAUAGCCUUUCGAAAGAAAGAUUAAUACCGGAUGGUACUUUUUCAAGGCAUCUUGAGAAAGUUAAAGAUUUAUUGGUUAUGGAUGGGGAUGCGUUCCAUUAGAUAGUUGGUGAGGUAACGGCUCACCAAGUCUUCGAUGGAUAGGGGUUCUGAGAGGAAGGUCCCCCACAUUGGUACUGAGACACGGACCAAACUCCUACGGGAGGCAGCAGUGAGGAAUAUUGGUCAAUGGGCGAGAGCCUGAACCAGCCAAGUAGCGUGAAGGAUGAAGGUCCUAUGGAUUGUAAACUUCUUUUAUAGUAGAAUAAAGUGACCCACGUGUGGGUUUUUGUAUGUAUACUAUGAAUAAGGAUCGGCUAACUCCGUGCCAGCAGCCGCGGUAAUACGGAGGAUCCGAGCGUUAUCCGGAUUUAUUGGGUUUAAAGGGUGCGUAGGCGGAAUAAUAAGUCAGUUGUGAAAGUUUGCGGCUCAACCGUAAAAUUGCAGUUGAUACUGUUAUUCUUGAGUGUACAUAAGGUAGGCGGAAUUCGUGGUGUAGCGGUGAAAUGCUUAGAUAUCACGAAGAACUCCGAUUG